GAUGAAGAACGUAGCGAAAUGCGAUAAGUAAUGCGAAUUGCAGAAUUCAGUGAAUCAUCGAAUCUUUGAACGCACAUUGCGCCCGCCAGUAUUCUGGCGGGCAUGCCUGUCUGAGCGUCGUUUCGACCCUCGCGCCCGGCUUCUGUCGGGGGCGGUGUUGGGGUUCGGCCACACCCUUCAGUGGGAGGCCGGCCCCUAAAUUCAGUGGCGACCACGCUGUAGCCUCCCCUGCGUAGUACUAAAACCACCUCGCAGGCGGAGAGCGGUGCGGCCCGCCGUAAAACCCCCCAACUUUUACAAGGUCGACCUCAGAUCAGGUAGGAAUACCCGCUGAACUUAAGCAUAUCAAUAAGCGGAGGA
rnacentral:misc_RNA from 1 species